CUUAUAGCAUUCUUACUCAACACAAUCCUCCACCUCCCAUAAAACCAAAAUUUUCAAUACAAAAUCCAUCACAACUCAUCAAUUAUUCCUCAUGACAUUAUGACUUUCUAAAGCAUCCUAUGUACCUCUUUUUUCCACUUUUCUCACUUUUUUUUUUCUUUUUCUUUUUUUCUUUUUUUUUCAACAACUUGUAGGGUACUAGGAUUAUUUUCAAUCAAGAUCAAAGUUCA
rnacentral:lncRNA from 1 species